rnacentral:rRNA from 1 species
CGGAGAGGGAGCAUGAGACAAGGGCCCAGGCCCUACGGGGCGCAGCAGGGGCGAAACCUCCACAAUGCACGCAAGUGCGAUGGGGUUACCUCGAGUGCCGCCUGAAGAAGGCGGCUUUUCCACGGUGUAAUGAGCCGUGGGAAUAAGGGGGGGGCAAGAUUGGUGUCAGCCGCCGCGGUAACACCAGCCCCCCGAGUGGUGGGGAUGAUUAUUUGGCCUAAAGCGUCCGUAGCCGGCCCGGUAAAUCUCUCGUUAAAUCCAGCGUCCUAAGCGUUGGGCUGCGAGGGAGACUGCCGGGCUAGAGGGUGGGAGAGGUCAGCGGUAUUUCUGGGGUAGGGGCGAAAUCCAUUGAUCCCAGGAGGACCACCAGUGGCGAAGGCUGCUGACUAGAACACGCCUGACGGUGAGGGACGAAAGCUGGGGUAGCGAAUCGGAUUAGAUACCCGAGUAGUCCCAGCCGUAAACGAUGCAGGCUAGGUGUUGGGCCGGCCACGCGCCGGCUCAGUGCCACAGGGAAGCCAUUAAGCCUGCCGCCUGGGGAGUACGGCCGCAAGGCUGAAACUUAAAGGAAUUGGCGGGAGAGCACCACCAGGCGUGAAGCCUGCGGUUUAAUUGGAGUCAACGCCGGGAACCUUACCGGGAGCGACAGCAGAGUGAAGGCCAGGCUGAAGGUCUUGCCGGACGAGCUGAGAGGAGGUGCAUGGCCGUCGCCAGUUCGUGGCGUGAGGUGUCCUCUUAAGUG